GUGGGACUGCUGAAGAGAUCAUUUCUACUUUGGAGACUUGACGGUUCACACUUUCAGACUGAGGGGAAGUCUUGUGUCUUGUUAGCUCUCUGAGAAGGUGCUUCGAAGGCAGAAAGCAGAAGAACCCAAGUGGCUGAUGAAACUUCACCAGCUUCUGCCAGGCAAUACAGAACAUUGUAGCCCUUCUGAUGAACAGAAAGAGUCCAGGUUUAAAUCUGAGGAACAUCUAGCGUUCGACCCUUCAGUUCACAGUACGUUACAAUCCUCACAGAACCUGAUGGUCAGCCCUCCAGAUGAUGAUUCAUCAGUGUCCAGUGGCAUGUGGUUCUGUCCUGGUGAGAGUGAUGGUCUGCCCUCCAGAUGUAGACGGAUGAAAGUUCAUCACUCAGGCAAAACCAAAGCCCAUUACUCUCCUCAUCACCGGUACAGACUAUUCAUUUAGAUUUGAUCUGAGGAGAUUUUGUGAUAUUUGAGUUUCAGUAUAGUUUGUAAACUCUCCUCAUCACCUUUACAUUUAGAUUUUAUUUGAUAAGAUUUUGUUAUCAGUGCUAUAGUUAUUAGUGCAGUCAUAAAUGUUAAGUUUUUUUAACUAUAAAACAUCACUGGCAAGGACACAGACUAAACAUGUAUUAUGAAAAGUGAUGUCUAUAAUAUUUAGAUUAUUAUUAUUACACCUGACAUCACAUGCAUAUAGAUGCACAUUGAAUAUUCUUUGAACUCAGAACUACUAAGUUCAGAUCAAAAUUGUUGAGAAUAAUCAAAACAAUUCUAAAUGUAAGUUUAUUCCUACCGUUCCUAUCCUAUCACGCCUCAGCUAGCGUACUUCACAUCACUUAUUCUGCCUCACCUUACCUGCAUCACCCGGCCUGCAUCACCCAGCCUGCCCCACUCAGCCCAGCUCACACAGCUUGCCCCAUAUGGCUAACCCCCCCCCGACCUGCCCUGCUUUGCCUGUACACGUAGUCUGCCCUGCCCUGCCUGGCCCGUCCGGCCUGCCCCGCCUGCCUACCUGAGCCCCGCGGCCUCUGCUCACCGCUCACCAGACCUGCGCAUGCUAGUUAUCCCUGCUAGGUAGAUAUUUGUGUAGGUGGGGUGUAGAUAGGUAGAGAUUUGUGUAGGUGGGGUGUAGAUAGGUAGAUAAUUGUGUAGGUAGGUAGAUAUUUGUGUAGGUGGGGUGUAGGUAGGUAGAUAUUUGUGUAGGUGGGGUGUAGAUAGGUAGAUAUUUGUGUAGGUAGGUAGAUAUUUGUGUAGGUGGGGUGUAGGUAGGUAGAUAUUUGUGUAGGUGGGGUGUAGAUAGGUAGAUAUUUGUGUAGGUAGGUAGAGAUUUGUGUAGGUGGGGUGUAGGUAGGUAGAUAUUUGUGUAGGUGGGGUGUAGAUAGGUAGAUAUUUGUGUAGGUGGGGUGUAGAUAGGUAGAUAUGUGGGUAGGUAGAUAUUUGUGUAGGUGGGGUGUAGAUAGGUAGAUAUGUGGGUAGGUAGAUAUUUGUGUAGGUGGGGUGUAGAUAGGUAGAUAUGUGGGUAGGUAGAUAUUUGUGUAGGUGGGGUGUAGGUAGGUAGAUAUUUGUGUAGGUGGGGUGUAGAUAGGUAGAUAUGUGGGUAGGUAGAUAUUUGUGUAGGUGGGGUGUAGGUAGGUAGAUAUGUGGGUAGGUAGAUAUUUGUGUAGGUGGGGUGUAGAUAGGUAGAUAUGUGGGUAGGUAGAUAUUUGUGUAGGUGGGGUGUAGGUAGGUAGAUAUUUGUGUAGGUGGGGUGUAGGUAGGUAGAUAUUUGUGUAGGUGGGGUGUAGAUAGGUAGAUAUGUGGGUAGGUAGAUAUUUGUGUAGGUGGGGUGUAGGUAGGUAGAUAUGUGGGUAGGUAGAUAUUUGUGUAGGUGGGGUGUAGAUAGGUAGAUAUGUGGGUAGGUAGAUAUUUGUGUAGGUGGGGUGUAGAUAGGUAGAUAUGUGGGUAGGUAGAUAUUUGUGUAGGUGGGGUGUAGAUAGGUAGAUAUGUGGGUAGGUAGAUAUUUGUGUAGGUGGGGUGUAGAUAGGUAGAUAUGUGGGUAGGUAGAUAUUUGUGUAGGUGGGGUGUAGGUAGGUAGAGAUUUGUGUAUAUAUGAGCAGGUGUGUAGGUGUGUGUAGAUGAGCAGGUGGUGUGUAGGUCAGUAGGUGUGUGUAGGUGGUCUGUCAGUGAGCAGCUAGGUGGACAGUUGUGUAGGUCAGUAGGUGUGUGUAAGUGGUCAGUCAGUGAGCAGCUAGGUGGACAGUUGUGUAGGUCAGUAGGUGUGUGUAAGUGGUCAGUCAGUGAGCAGGUAGGUGGACAGUUCUGUAGGUCAGUAGGUGUGUGUAGGUGGUCUGUCAGUGAGCUGGUAGGUGGACAGUGUUCAGGUCAGUAGGUGUGUGUAGGUGGUCAGUCAGUGAGCUGGUAGGUGGACAGUUGUGUAGGUCAGUAGGUAUGUGUAGGUGGUCAGUCAGUGAGCUGGUAGGUGGACAGUUGUGUAGGUCAGUAGGUUGAGUUUCAGUUGUUUAGGUGUGAAGUAGAGCUGCACGAUUCUGGACCAAAUGAGAAAUACGUCGUUUUUUUAGAAUAUAAAUCACGCUUUUCUAUUUCUAUGAACUUUAGUGAUUUAGAAACCCUGCACCUUAAAUUACCAAACGUAAACAAAACAGAAAAAAUGCUCUUUGCUUUUAUUAAAUUUAAACAAAUAAAAACAAAUGACUACCAGGUUUUUCAUGAGAAAUAAAUAAAUCACAAUU